GCAGAGGGAGGCCUAAGAGGUAUUGGGGAGAGGUGAUUAGGCAUGACAUGGCUAGAAUGCGGGUUUCCGAGGACAAGGCCCUUGAUAGGAAAGUCUGGAGGUCUAGUAUCAGGGUUGUAGGAUAGGGGCUCCUAGAGUUUUUCGUACUCCUCGCCCGGAGUUGGGCGAGGCUUGGCAGGGCUAUCCAUAGAUGAUUUGUGUUUUGGAUUGUGUCUCCCUUAUGGUAGUUAUUUAUAUAUUACCCUUCCCCAGGCCCCACUUUGUGGGACUAUACUGGGUAGUUGUUGUUGAUUAGAGAGUAUAAAAUAUUUUUAGGAAAAUAACUUUUUAUGCUACUCUCCUUAACCCAUCUUCCCCAAAAU
rnacentral:lncRNA from 1 species